rnacentral:rRNA from 1 species
AACGAACGCUGGCGGCGUGCUUAACACAUGCAAGUCGAACGCGAACGUUUCCUUCGGGAAACUAGUAGAGUGGCGCACGGGUGAGUAACGCGUAAGUAAUCUACCCUCGCAUCUGGGAUAACCCACCGAAAGGUGUGCUAAUACCUGAUACGUCUGGAAUUAUACAUUGAAUUCAGAGAAAGGUGGCCUCUUCAUGAAAGCUACUGUGCGGGGAGGAGCUUGCGUACCAUUAGCUAGUUGGUAGGGUAAGGGCCUACCAAGGCGAUGAUGGUUAGCGGGUCUGAGAGGAUGAUCCGCCACACUGGAACUGGAACACGGACCAGACUCCUACGGGAGGCAGCAGUGAGGAAUAUUGCGCAAUGGGGGGCAACCCUGACGCAGCGACGCCGCGUGGAUGAUGAAGGCCUUCGGGUUGUAAAUCCUGUCAGAUGGGAAGAAGUGGCAUUUAGCUAAUACCUGAGUGUCUUGACGGUACCAUCAAAGGAAG